rnacentral:rRNA from 1 species
GUCUAUGGCCAUGCCAUCCUGAACAAGCCCGAUCCCAUCUGAUCUCAGAAGCUAAGCAAGGUCGGCCCUGGUUAGUACUUGGAUGGGAGACCACUGAGGAAGACCAGGUGCUGUAGGUG